UACGGUAGGUGGCGAGCGUUGUCCGGAUUUACUGGGCGUAAAGAGCGCGCAGGCGGUCGUGCAAGUCGCGUGUGAAAGCCCCCGGCUCAACUGGGGAGGGUCACGCGAUACUGCUCGACUCGAAGGCAGGAGAGGGAAGUGGAAUUCCUGGUGUAGCGGUGAAAUGCGUAGAUAUCUGGAGGAACACCGGUGGCGAAGGCGGCUUGACCUGGACCGA
rnacentral:rRNA from 1 species